ACUGCGUCUGAAACGUGAUGAAGUUUACGUUGACCGAGUAUGAAGAGAGAACCCCGAAAAAGUAACACGGUUAAAACACGGGAAAAUAACGGAGGAAAAGGAAAGGGCCCAACAAGCCCAACAGAAGCGACGCGAGGCAUGUUGUCUGUUAACCAGUGUAAUCACAGAGGAUCAGGGCAUGCUGCAACACCUUAAAAACAUCAUCACAGGCAACACGGUGUCUCCUUGGGCCAAGAAACAGGACAGGGUCAUCCUUCUUUUUGAAGAUGAUGAACAAGUGGACAAAGUCAUGCACUUCUUGUCUGAAGUACUCAAACGUACUGAGACAGACAAGAAGUCUGCAGAUCCAGUGGCAAUCGUAAUGGAUGUACUUUUGCCAGAGGCAACAGUAUACGCCCUCGGAGCUGUUCACUCCAAAGCCAAGGAGAUGUACAUGCGUGGCACAGAGUUUGACUCAAGGUAAGCCGGAU